AUUAGGAAUCUUGCGCAAUGGGCGAAAGCCUGACGCAGCGACGCCGCGUGACCGAUGAAGUCCUUCGGGAUGUAAAGGUCUUUUGCAGGGGAAGAAGGAUGUGACGGUACCCUGCGAAUAAGCCCCGGCUAACUACGUGCCAGCAGCCGCGGUAAUACGUAGGGGGCGAGCGUUGUCCGAAUUCACUGGGCGUAAAGCGCGCGUAGGCGGAUCCUUAAGUUGAGGGUGAAAUGCCGAGGCUCAACCUCGGAACUGCCCUCAAAACUGGGGGUCUGGAGGUAUGGAGAGGGAAGUGGAAUUCCUGGUGUAGCGGUGAAAUGCGUAGAUAUCAGGAGGAAUACCUGUGGCGAAGGCGGCUUCCUGGCCAUAUCCUGACGCUGAGGUGCGAAAGCUAGGGGAGCGAACGGGAUUAGAUACCCCAGUAGUCC
rnacentral:rRNA from 1 species